UACGUAGGGUGCGAGCGUUAAUCGGAAUUACUGGGCGUAAAGCGUGCGCAGGCGGUUUGUAAGCCAGAUGUGAAAUCCCCGGGCUUAACCUGGGAAUGGCAUUUGGGACUGCAAGGCUUGAGUGCGGCAGAGGGAGACUGGAAUUCCUGGUGUAGCAGUGAAAUGCGUAGAGAUGCGGAGGAACACCGAUGGCGAAGGCAGCCCCCUGGGCUAACACUGACGCUCAGGCACGAAAGCGUGGGGAGCAAACAGG
rnacentral:rRNA from 1 species